UCAAGUAUGAAAUGUAUCUCCCUCCUUUUACACUUCACCCCUAAGGGUAUUUAUACAGUUUCCUACUGAUUUUCGGACCUAGAUCCGACGGAUCCAACAAGUCUGGGAUGCAACCAUUGGGGAUAUAACUACUCGGCCCGAUUGACCCGUCCGGAUUAAAACCUGUCGGGCGGCCUGAGUCUUUCUCUUUUAUUCACUCUACUAGACCUCAAUUCUGGGCUCUCGGUCUGGGCUGAUGGGCUUUUUCCUUUCAAAAUGAAAAUAGAAUGUAAAUAUUCAAUAUGGUGGUUUGAAAUAAAAUCAGGACUUUGACGUCCACCUUCGGUCAAUACAAUGCCAUGGAGUCCAAAACCACGUCCAAAGAUAAGAUUAAGGAACAUGUGCUUUACACCUUCAAAAUUUGAACUCUCAAAUUUACCGUUGAUCUGGGGAAGAAAAAGUAAACACGCAAUCUAAAACCGUGGGCACCGUCAAACUACCCACUACAAAAAUAAGAAAAGCAACACCCAACACCGCCGGCACAGUAUUCUGGGACCCAUUGCUAUCGUACUGUUCUUAUCCAAACCCAGAGGCUCAAGGCAAAACCCAACCCGAACCAUUUUUCCAGCGCUGCCUAUAAAGCAACAAGCACCGGUGCGGUCAAGAAAGCAGUUAACAAAUAUCCAUCCAGUUUGAGACUUUGAGUUGCAUACAUACGGAUAUACGAUGGCAGACGUGGCCUUGUUGGUUGUUGAGCAAUUCGAGAGGAGGAGGAAGUUGACUGAAGAAGAUGGGAUCGAGGCUAUGAACAGAAUGGCUUGCAGGUGCGUUUCGUACAUGGGGAAAAAGGUGGAGGAGGGUGUUGUUUUGCUCAGGGAUGAGGC
rnacentral:lncRNA from 1 species